rnacentral:rRNA from 1 species
CACGUAGGGCGCAAGCGUUGUCCGGAAUUAUUGGGCGUAAAGAGCUCGUAGGCGGUCUGUUGCGUCCGCUGUGAAAACUCGGGGCUUAACCCCGAGCCUGCAGUGGAUACGGGCAGACUAGAGGUAGGUAGGGGAGAAUGGAAUUCCCGGUGUAGCGGUGAAAUGCGCAGAUAUCAGGAGGAACACCGGUGGCGAAGGCGGUUCUCUGGGCAUGUCCUGACGCUGAGGAGCGAAAGUGUGGGGAGCGAACAGG